GUUUUAAUAGUUUAAAUUAAAAACAAUGAUCUUGUAAAUCAUAGAUAGGAUUACCUUUAAAACU
rnacentral:tRNA from 2 species